UGGAUGACAAGCUUGUAUUUGCAAAUGUACACACCCUGUGGGAGGUGAUCUGUACAUACGCUGAGAUACUGUACAUAAAAUUGCCUCUGAAUCCCAAUCAUCUGAAAACCGUGUCCUCAGCCUUUGAUACCUUCAGCUGUUUUAUGAAAGUCCUCCAAGUGGAUGAAAGUAUCAACAACCGGAACAAGAGUUUUUCAUUGCCCUAUUUGAGAAGAGCUGCGUGAACGACUUUUAUAUUCAGGAUAGAGAUACAUUCAUCAAUCCAACCACCAGGAGCCGCACUGUAAGUCUAAACCGAGUUUAGCUGCUGUCUUGGGGGUGAUUUAGAACCUGCUGUUGAAUUAUAAGUGAUUUGGUUUUGUUGGUUUGGUUUGGUUUUUAAAAGCUGCCCAUAAAAAUGAAAAAAGAGAAAGAAAAGAAAUAUGCCUACAGAUUCCUGUUAGGAUAGUAAACAGUGGCUGGUUAUUUACCCUGUAUAAACCACACGCUUUCUUAGAAUCUAUUUAGGUUUACUUCAUCCUUUCUCAGAUCAAGUAUCAAGUAAGGGACAGUUUUAAAAAAAAAUUCAGGAUUAACUGGAUUGUGAGCUCCGGGAUCUGCAAGGCAGCUUUCCCUUCCCAUGGUGUAAGUCAAAUGGCAGAAAUGAAAUAAAGCACUUCAUGUAUCCUCCGGUGUUAACAGGAAAAGGUGAGUCUUCUUGACCUUGUUACUUCCUGGGUAAAAUGAAGAUAAUAUGUCAGGAGUCGACAAGCCCAUUUAGGGCAGGAACCAUGUUGUCUUGUUCACUGCUGAAUCCCAGGCACCAGGAAGGCUGAGUUUAACAAGUGGGUGAAUGAAUGAACUGUAUUUCCCCCAGAGUUACCAUGUGGGGCAGUGUGGAUUAGCAUCUAAGAACAUAGACACGAGAGGUGAGGGUACAGCUCAAGUGAUGGGGCGCAUGCUUAGCACGCAUAAAGUCCUGGGUUCAGCCCCCAACACCUCCUCUAAAAUAGACAAAUAACCCUAAUUACCUCCCCACCCCCCACCAGAAUUACCUUAUUAUCUCCCUGCCACCAAAAAAAAAAAAAAAAAAGGUAGAAGUGGCCAAGAGCAUAGACUCAGGCUGGAACACUUGUGCUGGUUUCUCGCUGUCUACCUUGUAAAAGUCAUUUAGCCUCUGUGUUUAUCAAGUUCCUCAUCAAUAAAAUGGGGAUAAUAAUAGUACCCACCUCGUAGAGAUGCUAUGGGGAUUAAUGAAUCUGCUUGAAUUUUAGAACAGCCCUGGCUAAUAGUAAGUACUAUGCAUUUGCCAGCUCUUUUCAUAAUUACUGACAGAUGUUAUUAUCAACCAAAGAAGUAUUAGUUCUUUGUAAGGGAAAUGCAUGUUAGACCAUUUCAUUUAUCAUUUUCUGUAAUUCAGGCUUUUUCCCUCUGAAAUACCAUUUUCUGUCUGUGCACUAGUAAAUCACAGGGCUUUCCAAAUUUCAUCUGUCUGAGUUCUUGUCAUGAUGACAAUACUGCAGAGUUUUGACAUUUUUUAGGGACUCCAUCUGAGAUGACAGCAACCCCUCAAAUUCAGAAGCACUUCUCUAACUGACAACAUCUCGCAUGAAAUGAAGUUUGUAAAAUUGCAACUUCAGCCUCCAUCAGAGGACCUCAGCUGCCCCAGCGAACAGGGCCUUCUGUACAGGGAAUGUGCUCCUCCUCGAAGCAUAGACAAGAAGCAGCCCUUAGAUCUCAUCAGGAAAUUCUACGGAGAGAAGGUCGGAAUCUACUUUGCUUGGGCUGGGCUAUUACAUUCAGAUGCUCCUCCUGGCAGCAGUCGUGGGGGUGACUUGCUUUCUUGUGACCCAGGUGGCUGUCUCCUUGAACUGAUGAUGCAGCUGACAAUAAUCAUGGGAGGACAGUCCAUCUGGAAUAAGAUACAAGAGGUGUUACUUCCGUGUUUCUCAUGUGCAAAUUGGUAUCCCUGCAUGAGAACCAUAAACCAACAGAAAACCCAAAAGACCGAGGACAAUGAUGGGUUGCCGACAGCCCAAGCUUUUCUGCCACAGAAGAGUGGUUCCAGUCAGGAAGACUGAGCAAGAGGCUCAGAGUCUUAGCUAAGGACAAGCAAGUCGGGACUUCUAAUACGACCUAAUGUCAUCGACGGGGGAGGGCAGUUCAGCACAAGAAGGGAGCACCAGCUGGGUCAUGAAUCUAAUGAUGCCACAGUUUCGGAAGCAGAACAGACCACCCCACGAUGGGAAUGGGACAACCAUCUGUAUCCAACGGGCAAACUGGGGUUAUUUUAUGAAUACCCUGAAAUGAGAGUAAAAGAAUUUAUGUUGUCCUUCCAUCCAUCCACCACUCCAUGUUUUGUGUCCAUUCCUUCAACAGGUAUUCAGUUUGGGUUCACCACAGUAUAUGUGGCCUCUUUCCAGUGGCCCCUCUGUUGGCUCUGGAGAACAAUAUAUUGGAAAUCAGAGUGGGUACGUGGAACCUUGACUACCCAGUAUAGAUGCAUUGUGCCAGAAAGCCCAGAACAUCGCAGCAUGGCAGCCCACCAUGCAAGGAACUGCAAUUCUGGCUUUGGUGGACCAAUGUGAAUAAAAAGGCUUCAUUGGGUGAAGACUUAGAAAAGUCCAAAAAUGCAUUGGUGUUGUUUCCUAAGGAAUCUAGUGUUGGGUACUGUUUAAUAUGAGAGGGAGAUGCUAACACUAUCAUCGUUAUAAACAACAUAGUUGUUGUAACUGUAAUUGUUAUUAUUUUUAAUAUAUUUUCUUUAUAAUUAUUAUUUGUGACUUACAAGACCCUUACAGAGGCAGUUGUUAAGGAGCGUGGCCGUUAUACUGUUGCUGAAGUGUUAAUUCAGUAGAAGCAUGGUAAUAGCAUUAAUAAGUACUCACUCUUUUGAUCCUCACAUUGACUAUAAAGGUCACCCAGCAGUGCUUGUAUAAUGGAGAUAGAAAUCUAUCCGUUUAAGUGUUUGUAGAACUUAAAAUAAGAGCAGACAUUCCACCGCAUUUGACCAUAUAUUCCAGACUAUCAGUUUAAAAUAGGAACUACCUGAUGAGGCCAUAGAAACACUUUGUGCAUCCCCAAUCAUUCACUACCUUCCUGGUCCCCUGGGGCAGCGGUUCUUCCAGAAGGUGGCCCCAUCUCUCCUCCCCACCCCACUCUUGGCCUUUGAUAACAACUGUUGGUCAUUAGCUAAGCAUCCUCAUGUCCUGCAUGUGUCUGAGCUGUGAGGGAACAGAACUCAGCUGUUUACAAACUGUAUUGACUAUGACCAGUAUGAACAGCCUCUCUCCUUCCCUGCCCACAACCCCACAGUGCAACACGGGGCUCACAACCACAGCGAUUCCCAUGCCAGCCCAUCAGGGAACCUUCUUCCCUAGAAAUAUUCUUACAACCAGAGAUGUUUCCUCCCUUACUUCACUGCCAGUUUCACUCCCAGGUUACAGUCCCCAACAAAAGGCUAUCCCAGUUUGAAUUUCUUAAUCAAGUCUCAUUGACCCUGAGUACCUGGCUUUUUCCUAUGAGCACUCAUAGAAAUAGAACAGGGCCAGGCAGUGGCUGUGGGCCAGGUUCCUGGGUGAGGGGACUUGCUGGGAGCUUCAGGUUCUGUAGCCUGGCCCGAGCUGAGCUCCCAGCACGGCGUCUUCCCAUCUGCAUUAUUUCGGGCCAGGCUUCAACAGUUCAGAGUUUCAUUUUAUCAUCUGCAAACAGAAUAAUCCCCUGCUGCAGAUUUUAAGACUGUUAUGUACCACAAAGGGUUCUUAGG